rnacentral:rRNA from 1 species
UACGUAGGGGGCGAGCGUUGUCCGGAAUUAUUGGGCGUAAAGAGCUCGUAGGCGGCUUAGUAAGUCGGCGGUGAAAUACCGAGGCUCAACCUCGGCACUGCCGUCGAUACUGCUAUGGCUAGAGUCUGGUAGAGGAGAACGGAAUUCCCGGUGUAGCGGUGGAAUGCGCAGAUAUCGGGAGGAACACCCGUAGCGAAGGCG